rnacentral:SRP_RNA from 1 species
GCUGGGCAUGGUGGUGCAUGCCUGUAAUCCCAGCUACUUGGGAGGCUGAGGCAGGAGAAUUGCUUGAACCUGGGAGGCAGAGGUUGCAGUGAGCCAAGAUUACACCACUGCACUCCAGCCUGGGUGACAGAGCAAGACUCCGUCUCAA